AAGUCGUAACAAGGUUUCCGUAGGUGAACCUGCGGAAGGAUCAGUAGAGAAAACUGGGUCGCAAGACCCGAUCUACCCCACACACACCUGUGAACCGUUUAUAUGUCCGAAGGCCUCGGCCCGAGGGCUACUUUACAAAACAUCUUUAUACAAGUCUCGAACGUCAUGUUAAAUCUUAACAAAACAAA
rnacentral:misc_RNA from 1 species